GGAUGUAGCUCAGUAGUAGAGCACUUGUCUAUCAUGCUCGAGGCCCUGGGUUCAAUUCCCAGCACCA
rnacentral:tRNA from 1 species